GAUGUGUCUAUGAGAAGCAAGUUUUGGGAAAUGACUUGGCAACCAGUGGUCUUAUAGAAUGGGGCCAAAUAAAAAGGAACCCUUCCUUUCAAACGAAUAGAUGUCCUCACUGUGCUUAGUGUCAUGGAAGAUGACAUAACUCAUUAUAAAGUAUGAGUUCAGUCUUCUCUCUCUAUUGCCCUCUCUUAUAUCAUUUUAUUUCAUGGGAUGAUGUAGCAAAGUCUUCCUUACCAGAAACCAGUGUCUUGGUAUCGGACUGACUAGCCUUCAGACCUGAAAAAUUAAUUUCAUAUUACCCAGUUUCUGAUAAUUUGUUAUUACAGCAUGCGUUGGACUGAGGCAGGGGGAAAAGUGGAUUUUUUCAGGUUAGUUAUACUAGAUUAAUACUAAUUACAGUGUUUUCCAUUAUGGAAUAUCAUUGUAGAGUUCACCUCAUUGUCAUCUCUCUAUCAUCUGUUUAGCAAUCUGUUUGUCUGUUAUCUAUUAUAUAUUAGCUAUUUGUUUGUUAUCAUCUUUCUCUCUCUUUCAUUCUCUCUUAUCUAUGUAGGCUUAGAUUUUUCAAAACCUACUUUUACUAAGUGUUCUUAAAUGUUUUAACUUCCCUUCUAGCCCACCAUCCACCAGGGGUAUUGGAAAGGAAAGAUUAAGAGAGCAAAGGAGGAUGUGGACUUGUUUUGAAAUAUUUCUUUGUAGAAAGUCCAACCUGUGUUGUCAGGAUAUCAGCAGUUUAAUUCACAUGAAUCAGCAGUGGCAUCUCGAUCCACUCACAAACACCAUUCACGGAUCAACAAUGGCAGCUCAAUCCAGAAGAAACUGCUAGGCUCUGCCAAUCAGCCAGAAUCCAUAGAAGUAAGAAGUUGCCAGAACACCACCAAAAGUUUUUGGUCCAUUUCUAUGAAAUCAUGACAAAUAGUGACCAACAAUAAGUGGUAAGGCAUACCAAUACUACCCAGCAUCAUCAGUGAAGACCAGCAUCAGCAAAGCCCAAUGCUGACCAGCAAAGUGUGCCAAGGUGUAUCAAGACCAUCCAGAAUUGUCUACUGUUUGUUGGGUUAUAUUUAUAUCCUUUCCAAACAUCACGUGUUCUCUCAAGCAUCUGCUCUAGCAAAAUAUUACAGAAAACAUGUCUGUUCUUAGC
rnacentral:lncRNA from 1 species